rnacentral:rRNA from 1 species
CCUACGGGUGGCAGCAGUGAGGAAUAUUGGUCAAUGGACGAGAGUCUGAACCAGCCAAGUCGCGUGAGGGAUGACGGUCCUGUGGAUUGUAAACUUCUUUUGUCUGGGAAUACACUCUUCCACGUGUGGGCUUUUGUAUGUACCUUAUGAAUAAGUAUCGGCUAACUCCGUGCCAGCAGCCGCGGUAAUACGGAGGAUCCGAGCGUUAUCCGGAUUUAUUGGGUUUAAAGGGAGCGUAGGGGGAUUGGUAAGGUCGGUGUGAAAGGUUGCGGCUCAACCGGAAAAGGGCAGUUGAAACUGGAAGUCUGGAGUAAAGAAGAGGUGGGCGGAAUGCGCGGUGUAGCGGUGAAAUGCUUAGAUAUCACGAAGAACUCCGAUUGCGAAGGCAGCUCACGGGACUGAAACUGACGCUGAGGCUCGAAAGUGUGGGUAUCAAACAGGAUUAGAUACCCGAGUAGUC